GGGUCCAUUUCCUCAAGAUGGACAUGGCCCUUUGCAUAUGCUUGUUCUGGCAUACUGCUGCUCUGCAGUGUGCUUUGGUGUCCAUUGGAUACUGGGAAGCUCUUCUGGGUGGCUGCACAGCUCAGUUCUGUCUGAGCAGGGCUGCAGACACUGCUCCGCUGAGUGCUCCCCUCCAAGAUCUCAGAGGAGAAAUGGGCUGAGCUCUUGCGGACUGAACUCAUAACAACUGGUGCUGCUACGUGUUGUGGACCCCUCACUGGAGUCUCCAGGGUCAGCUGACAGCAAGAGAAACCCUUGGAAGCACGAGGAGCCACGGGGAUGGGUGUGGUGCCAUGAAUAACGGUAUGUAAUGCAUGUGCAAGGGGCUCUGGAAAAUACCUGAGAACACCAGAGAUAACAGCAGGAACUCUGUAUUUAUCUCUGAGCUGGAAAGAAUUGCUCGUUCGCUUCACUAUGUGGUCCCAGCAGAGCCAGCUUCUGAGAAAGAUAUAUGCAAGGUCAGACAGAUAGCUAACCUGCCUUUCAGAGAGCUCUUCCUCCCCUGGCUGUUUCAUUAGUUUGUGAGCUAAGAUUUUAUUAAAUGAAGGCAUGAUGAAUACAAGAUUUUAAAACAUUUGGUAGUGAAAGAUCUAUCCAUCUAUCCAGUCUUCACUUCAAGGUCAGUAACUGGAAGAGCCUCCAGAACUGUAAGGAAAUCUGGGAUGGAGAAGGUCACUGCAGGUGCUCUGGGCAGCUCUUGCCAGGGCACAGGGGAGCUUGCCAACACCAUCAAGUUUGAACCUCCUCCCCAGCCCAGGAGCACCUUCUGGCUGUGAGCCCUGCCCAGGCAUCUGUGGGGUGGAGAUGGGAAUUGAGGAGAGUCUCAGAGCACAUCUGCACAGAGCUGCCAGCAGCGGCAGCCUGGGGGAAAAUGUCACUCAGCAUGUUGGAGAAGUGCCCUUGCCUCAUGAAGGAGCUUUCAUCUUGGGUUCUUCACAAAGACCUGCAUCUCAGCUGCUGCCAGUGUUCACCUUCCCUCCCUGUGCUCCUAGUACAGCCUUUUAGAGCAUUAUGACACUAUUUCUAAGGCUUGAUUCUGUCAGGAAUUGCCCUGGUGUUUCCCUGCUCCUCAUUUCCCUCAGCUUGGCUGCACUCUCAGCUGUAACUUUUGUCCUCAGCCUUCCAGAUUCUUCCCCUAGCUCCCUUCUACUGCCCUCACACAUGGAAGAACAAAAUGUUUCUUCUUUAAAUGUAAUUGGGGAAAAUUCUCCUAAUAAGUCAAGGUAAAUACAUUCUUCCCCACAUAAACAUGUUGUCCUGUGCUUCACUUAUAUUUUCUCCCUUUUGACUGGGUCAUGGCAGUUCUAAGAGACUGCAGCCUCCCACAGAGGAGCAGAUGUAGCCAUUGGGCACUUGGUAGUCAAAAACCAGUGGCAAAAAGCAGAGAUGUGGUGACCUUGGGAGGACUGCAGAUAUCUGGACAGCAUGGAGCCCAAUAAGGCUGAACCUAAUAAAUGAUGUCAUCCCAAAAUAUUGUGUGCUGAGACAUCACCGAAGUCUCUGCCUCUGUGAUAUACCUUCACUGCAAACCAGAUAAUCUGUCUGCUGACACCAGAGAAGAAUUUUAAUUCUUUCUCUCAGCAGCACCUAGGACAUUUUUGAUGCUAUUGUAAUACAAGGCUUAAGUUAGGUCUCAUGCUAUGUUAUCAUAACCUGUUAGACCCAGGCUAUUUUCUGUAUUUAUUUAUCAGUUUACGUGAAGGAAACUUAGUUUGUUAAGAAACUUCUACUCUUAUUUCUGUACAUUUAUUCCCACUGUCAGUUCUACAACAAAAUGCUGUAAUUCCUAUGAUUUUAUCUGUGGUGCUAAAGGCCUGGAUUUAAUAGAGGUCUCCAGGGAGUGAUUGUUAUCCUACCUAAGGAAGGAAGAGCACACUUUAGUGAGAAGAAAUGUCAUAAUUAGCUCUCAGGUCUAGUUAAUUUAAGAACAAGAUGGAGGGUUUAUGGAGUGUUUAUACGGUCGUAGCUUUCCUGAGGCAAUAUUUAAGUGCAGUGAAUAACAGAAGUAAUUACAGAGGUAAUUCAUACACCAUUUAAAAAAA